rnacentral:rRNA from 1 species
UACGUAGGGUCCGAGCGUUGUCCGGAAUUAUUGGGCGUAAAGAGCUCGUAGGCGGUUUGUUGCGUCGGCUGUGAAAUCCCGAGGCUCAACCUCGGGUCUGCAGUCGAUACGAGCAAACUAGAGUGUUGCAGGGGAGACUGGAAUUCCUGGUGUAGCGGUGAAAUGCGCAGAUAUCAGGAGGAACACCGGUGGCGAAGGCGGGUCUCUGGGCAACAACUGACGCUGGAGGAGCGAAAGCGUGGGGAGCGAACAGG